GAGUUGGGCAAAGUCCAUCCACCACUAGCUGAGUGAAAAGGAAAAUAAUAAUAAUAAAAUGGAAUAUUAAAACGCAGCAACACCAAAAUACAAUAAAACAUCUCUAAACUCGAAAAAUGAACAGAACUUUUUUAUCCCCAAAAGAAGGAACAUAAGGAGCUUCCACUGUCUAAGGAUAGGGAAUAGCUCCGAGAUAUUGGGGAAAAGUUUAGGGCUACUAAAGGAGCUGCUUUCUUUUUCUCAGAGCAUUUCCUUUCACAUUGGAAGGAGAGAAGUUUAAUGACCUACUGGAAAUCGAUUUUCAGGAGGGAGAGGAAAGCAAC
rnacentral:misc_RNA from 1 species